GACGAACGCUGGCGGCGUGCUUAACACAUGCAAGUCGAACGGAAAGGCCCUGCUUUUGUGGGGUGCUCGAGUGGCGAACGGGUGAGUAACACGUGAGUAACCUGCCCUUGACUUUGGGAUAACUUCAGGAAACUGGGGCUAAUACCGGAUAGGAGCUCCUGCUGCAUGGUGGGGGUUGGAAAGUUUCGGCGGUUGGGGAUGGACUCGCGGCUUAUCAGCGUGUUGGUGGGGUAGUGGCUUACCAAGGCUUUGACGGGUAGCCGGCCUGAGAGGGUGACCGGCCACAUUGGGACUGAGAUACGGCCCGGACUCCUACGGGAGGCAGCAGUGGGGAAUAUUGCACAAUGGGCGGAAGCCUGAUGCAGCAACGCCGCGUGCGGGAUGACGGCCUUCGGGUUGUAAACCGCUUUCGCCUGUGACGAAGCGUGAGUGACGGUAAUGGGUAAAGAAGCACCGGCUAACUACGUG
rnacentral:rRNA from 1 species